rnacentral:rRNA from 1 species
UACGAAGGGGGCUAGCGUUGCUCGGAAUUACUGGGCGUAAAGGGAGCGUAGGCGGAUAGUUUAGUGAGAGGUGAAAGCCCAGGGCUCAACCUUGGAACUGCCUUUCAUACUGGCUAUCUUGAGUACGGGAGAGGUGAGUGGAACUCCGAGUGUAGAGGUGAAAUUCGUAGAUAUUCGGAAGAACUCCAGUGGCGAAGGCGACUCACUGGCCCGUUACUGACGCUGAGGCUCGAAAGCGUGGGGAGCAAACAGG